GAUGGGCUGCUUCAGAAGCUUGUAGGGAGGGAGGACUGCCAUUAAAUCCUCUGAAGUAUAAAUAGGGCUCCAGGAGCUUCACUUACCAGGAUGACCCUGAACUUCCAGACAGCAAUGAUUCUCAACCUAAUCCAUCGAAGAGACUGGCUCCUGCUCUGAUGGAAACACAACGCCCAUUAAAAAAAAAAACCAGGUUGGCUUCAUUUUUCCCUAUAGUCAAUGGACUUUAUUUACAUGGCAGAGAACAUUGUCACUUGCAAGUUUUAUCAGAACAAUCCCAAAGGAAGACCUAGACAAAGCUGGCUUGGUUGUAUGAUCAUUUCUGGGUCACGCGGCCUAUCUUGAUCACAUGCAUUUCCCAUGGGUAGGGUAAGUGUGUCUAUUAUUAGAAGGUGCAGAGGAAGGGGUGUGAGGCAAAUAAGAACGUGAACCAACAUAGGUGGCCCAGGGCACAUGGUGGGAAGGUUCUAAAGGUAGAGGAACAGCAGGAGGUGGUUGGAUCAGGGGAGAAAAAUCCAACAGUAGUAUGACCAUGAGUGAAUGAGAAGAAUAGAUGGGUGGGAUAGAAUAGAUGACUCGUAUUUCAGGCAACAGCCAAGGACUCUGAAGAUGUGUAGUAGGAUGGAUUUCUGAAAUAAACUCAGCAGACACAGAGGAGUGGUCUUACUUUGAAUUUGUUUCACCUGCAAGAGGGUCUUAGUUCUCAUGAACAGACAGGGAAAUGGUGGUAGGUAAGCGGUUCCUGGGGAGAUUGGUACAUGAGGACACAGCAGCAGCAGAUUGGGGGUAUGCUUCGCAAAGUAACUGGAGACUCGCCUCUGCCAGGGAGGCCACCCAGUAGAUCACUUUCACCUGAGGAGAAUGAAAUGAUGAGAGCAUCAUUCUGUGCAAAAUGCUUUGCUCAACUGCUUCUGAAAUUAGAAGGUCUUAUACCUCAGGGAAUUGGUGACUGGUGGGUCUGACACGAUGUCUUGUCGCCAUCAGAAAAAUGGUGUAUGGCUCAGUGCCUAGUAGAACCAAGGUCUCGGGGUGGUGGCCAAGGGUUCUUUGGAGCUGUUUCCUUGUUUGCAUCAGCCCUUGUGCUCAAAGACACAGCUUACAGCACAAGUGAAAACAGUUAAAAUGUGUACAGUUCAUUGCAGCCCCCCAAACACUGUUGCUAUAUACAUUAUUAAUUUUAAUCUCAUAUCAACCAGGAACAUAACGUUUCCCCUACUUCAAAUAAGGAAGCAGAGCCUCGGUAAAAUAACUUGUUUAAGAUUUUACAACUAUUAAAUGUUAACU